AUUUUAUUUAUAAAUCAUGGAAAUCAGCAAGAUUUAAUGACCAGGUAUCGCAAUAUUUGGAAUGGAAGCUUGAAAUUUUGCCAAUAGGUUAUGCAUCAUGCCAUAGCCUAUUAGAGAAAUACAUUUUUUAAAAAUCCUAAAAAAUACAUAAAGGGAUAUAUCAUACAACAAAACUUUUUUAAAAAUUGGCACUCCUAUUUGGAAACUAGAUUUUAAAAAUCUAUUUUGUCCAUCUCAACCUGACUACAUUUUUCUCUUAUAUUCAAUAUAAACUUUUCAAACUAAAGAUCUAUAAAUAAUAAUGUAGAGAUGCCAAAAUGGAAAUUCCAGAAAGUGACUUUCGAAAAACUAAAAGCAGAGCCUGCCACCCCUUACAGAGAGAAAGUUUGUUUCAACAUGAGUUACAAAGGAAAGAGCCCAGGCCUAGAAAUGGGUCACUGAGUGUUUCUCUGUAAUGGGGUGGAGGUUUGGGAAGUUUUUCUCUUUUGCAGGAUAGGAAUUCUGCCCAAGCCACAGAUGGUGGCAACUCCUUCAGUAACUACUUUCAUCAGAAACCCCUUCAGCAACUACCUUCAUCAGGUUUCCAGAUCCAUCUCCUUGGGAGUGGUAACCUUGAUGAAAGCCACUUCCAGCAUUUUCUACCGAGAAUGGUGAAAUCCAGAGGCACUAAGGCACAUGCGGGCAGUUUCCCUGUUGGGGAGGUCUGUCCUAGAGCCCUGGUCAUUCCAAUCCACCUUACUUCACAGGAAUCGAGGCUCUGAUCACAGAUGUGCAAUGACCAGAUGUACGAUCCUGUAUAAACCUCCACAGUCUCUUUGGGUCUCAGUCUUGCCCAAAUGAAAACCAAGAAAAAAUGAUGUCAAACUCCCUUAAGACUUCAAAUGAAUUAUUCCUUGUCUCCCAUGAAUGUCCAGGUUUUGCUUCAGCAAAAUGCAUUUUGCACCUGUGGGUAUAAAUUUCAGGGAAAUAGGAAAAUGAUGAGCCAAAUUAAAAGCACAGCUUAUUGUGUAAAGGGGAAAAAAAAGCAUUCUAUAGUUUAUUCUAAUUGUUAAAGAAAGAAAAAAACUUAGGGAGAAAAAAAAUAGCCCAAAUAUUAAAACCUAGCUUCAGGCUUUAACAUUUCUUUAUUAACAAAAUCUGGUCAUUAAAUCUCAGAUAAGAAAACAAGCUUUGAUCUUUAGUUGAAAUCUAAGCAGCCCUGCUGCUAAAAAUAAUUAUUUAAAACAUUUUGUUUUCACUGUACUUUGAAUUUCUAUUUCUUAUGUUUCAAAACAUAACCUUUAAGAGUUU
rnacentral:lncRNA from 1 species